AUCGCUUCUCGGCCUUUUGGCUAAGAUCAAGUGUAAUUUUAUCACCCCUGCUUUUUUUUCAAAUUCUUGUAAACUCUGGGCAGGUUUGGAAAAUACAAAGAUCUGUGAUCUUUCCCUUUUACUCCUACGUUAUUUUAAGCUAAA
rnacentral:snRNA from 1 species